CCUACGUGUGGCAGCAGUGGGGAAUAUUGGGCAAUGGGCGCAAGCCUGACCCAGCAACGCCGCGUGAAGGAAGAAGGCUUUCGGGUUGUAAACUUCUUUUCUCAGGGACGAAGAAAGUGACGGUACCUGAGGAAUAAGCCACGGCUAACUACGUGCCAGCAGCCGCGGUACUACGUAGGUGGCCAGCGUUAUCCUGAUUUAUUGGGUGUAAAGGGCGUGUAGGCGGGGGCGCAAGUCAGAGGUGAACACUCAGGGCUCAACCCUGAGCCUGCAUUUGAAACUGUGUUGCUUGAGUGCUGGAGAGGCAAGCGGAAUUCCGGGUGUAGCGGUGAAAUGCGUAGAUAUAAGGAGGAACACCAGUGGCGAAGGCGGAUUGCUGGACAGUAACUGACGCUGAGGCGCGAAAGCGUGGGGAGCAAACAGGAUUAGAUACCCUGGUAGUC
rnacentral:rRNA from 1 species